rnacentral:rRNA from 1 species
GAUGAACGCUGGCGGCGUGCCUAAUACAUGCAAGUCGAGCGAACAGACGAGGAGCUUGCUCCUCUGACGUUAGCGGCGGACGGGUGAGUAGCACGUGGAUAACCUACCUAUAAGACUGGGAUAACUUCGGGAAACCGGAGCUAAUACCGGAUAAUAUAUUGAACCGCAUGGUUCAAUAGUGAAAGACGGUUUUGCUGUCACUUAUAGAUGGAUCCGCGCCGCAUUAGCUAGUUGGUAAGGUAACGGCUUACCAAGGCAACGAUGCGUAGCCGACCUGAGAGGGUGAUCGGCCACACUGGAACUGAGACACGGUCCAGACUCCUACGGGAGGCAGCAGUAGGGAAUCUUCCGCAAAGGGCGGAAGCCUGACGGAGCAACGCCGCGUGAGUGAUGAAGGUCUUCGGAUCGUAAAACUCUGUUAUUAGGGAAGAACAAAUGUGUAAGUAACUAUGCACGUCUUGACGGUACCUAAUCAGAAAGCCACGGCUAACUACGUG